rnacentral:rRNA from 1 species
GAUGAACGCUAGCUACAGGCUUAACACAUGCAAGUCGAGGGGCAGCGGGAUUGAAGCUUGCUUCAAUUGCCGGCGACCGGCGCACGGGUGAGUAACGCGUAUCCAACCUUCCGUACACUCAGGGAUAGCCUUUCGAAAGAAAGAUUAAUACCUGAUGGUAUGAUGAGAUUGCAUGAUAGCAUCAUUAAAGAUUUAUCGGUGUACGAUGGGGAUGCGUUCCAUUAGGUAGUAGGCGGGGUAACGGCCCACCUAGCCGACGAUGGAUAGGGGUUCUGAGAGGAAGGUCCCCCACAUUGGAACUGAGACACGGUCCAAACUCCUACGGGAGGCAGCAGUGAGGAAUAUUGGUCAAUGGACGAGAGUCUGAACCAGCCAAGUAGCGUGAAGGAUGAAGGUCCUACGGAUUGUAAACUUCUUUUAUAAGGGAUAAAACCUCCCACGUGUGGGAGCUUGUAUGUACCUUAUGAAUAAGCAUCGGCUAACUCCGUGCCAGCAG